UUCUAGCCAUGCGAGUCGUUGUAGCAAUACAAGGCAGACUGCUCAGUAACACGUAGUUAACCUAACCUAUGGACGGGGAUAACCUCGGGAAACUGAGAAUAAUCCCCGAUAGAUCACGGUGCCUGGAAUGGCCUGUGGUCCAAAUGAUUUAUCGCCGUAGGAUGGGACUGCGGCCUAUCAGCUAGUUGGUGAGGUAAUGGCCCACCAAGGCUAUAACAGGUACGGGCUCUGAGAGGAGGGGCCCGGAGAUGGGUACUGAGACACGGACCCAGGCCCUAUGGGGCGCAGCAGGCGAGAAACCUUUGCAAUGUGCGAAAGCACGACAAGGUUAAUCCGAGUGUCUCCUGCUAAAGGAGUCUUUUGCCGGUCAUAAAACCACCGGUGAAUAAGGGGUGGGCAAGUUCUGGUGUCAGCCGCCGCGGUAAAACCAGCACCUCGAGUGGUCAGGAGGUUUAUUGGGCCUAAAGCAUCCGUAGCCGGCUGCUCAAGUUUUCGGUUAAAUCUAUGCGCUCAACGUAUAGGCCGCCGAAAAUACUGGGCAGCUAGGGAGUGGGAGAGGUACACGGUACUCAAUAGGAAGGGGUAAAAUCCUUUGAUCUAUUGAUGACUACCUGUGGCGAAGGCGGUGUACCAGAACACGUUCGACGGUGAGGGAUGAAAGCUGGGGGAGCAAACCGGAUUAGAUACCCGGGUAGUCCCAGCUGUAAACGAUGCAGACUCGGUGAUGCAUUGGCUUGUGGCCAAUGCAGUGCCGCAGGGAAGCCGUUAAGUCUGCCGCCUGGGAAGUACGUACGCAAGUAUGAAACUUAAAGGAAUUGGCGGGGGAGCACCACAAGGGGUGAAGCCUGCGGUUCAAUUGGAGUC
rnacentral:rRNA from 1 species